rnacentral:rRNA from 1 species
UGCGCAGGCGGAACUUUAAGUCAGUGGUGAAAUCUUGCCGCUUAACGGUAAAAUUGCCAUUGAUACUGAAGUUCUUGAAUAUGGUUGAGGUAGGCGGAAUGUGUUGUGUAGCGGUGAAAUGCAUAGAUACGACACAGAACGCCGAUUGCGAAGGCAGCUUACUAAGCCAUUAUUGACGCUGAGGCACGAAAGCGUGGGGAGCGAACAGGAUUAGAUACCCUGGUAGUCC